GACGAACGCUGGCGGCGUGCCUAAUACAUGCAAGUCGAACGCUUCUUUCCUCCCGAGUGCUUGCACUCAAUUGGAAAGAGGAGUGGCGGACGGGUGAGUAACACGUGGGUAACCUACCCAUCAGAGGGGGAUAACACUUGGAAACAGGUGCUAAUACCGCAUAACAGUUUAUGCCGCAUGGCAUAAGAGUGAAAGGCCCUUUCGGGUGUCGCUGAUGGAUGGACCCGCGGUGCAUUAGCUAGUUGGUGAGGUAACGGCUCACCAAGGCCACGAUGCAUAGCCGACCUGAGAGGGGGAUCGGCAACACUGGGACUGAGACACGGCCAAGACUCCUACGGGAGGCAGCAGUAGGGAAUCUUCGGCAAUGGACGAAAGUCUGACCGAGCAACGCCGCGUGAUUGAAGAAGGUUUUCGGAUCGUAAAACUCUGUUGUUAGAGAAGAACAAGGACGUUAGUAACUGAACGUCCCCUGACGGUAUCUAACCAGAAAGCCACGGCUAACUACGUG
rnacentral:rRNA from 1 species